rnacentral:lncRNA from 1 species
GUUUUUUCAAUAUCAAAAUCGUUUUCAUGAGAUCUGUUGCAGUCAAACCGUCGUUCCCAUACUCUCUUCUCGCUCUUCUUUUUUCUUCUCUAAACGAAGACAAAGCUUUCAAGGCCUUCGCUACUUCAAUCAUUCACCGCUUCUGUUCUAUGAUCGAUUACAAAGUCUAAAAUCUCUCUUUUUGCCACCUUCGUGGCCAUCCCUUUAUUUCAAUUUCUUCGUUGAGCGAGUAAUUUGAGGGUUUUGGUAAAAGGCUUGGCAGCUGCCUAUUCUUCUAUCAUUGGAAUGUGAGAAGUCUUAGAAAGUCCAGGCUCAGGUGAUGUCUAAUAGCAUAAUUAACUACAACCCGCUUGUAAGCAAGGCUAGAAAUCUGCUGAUUUUCCAUUUCAUAAGAGAACAAAGCUCUACAGAAUGCUCAGAAGGAGUAGGAAUUGUAGUACUUAAAGCGGAAUGAAGCUAGUUCUGUUAUAUGCUUAAGACAUCGAAUUCUAGACUUUUUCGCAAAGACAAUUAGGGCUUUGAAGCCAAAGGCUAAGAAGCCGAAAAAUGAGACUAGCUAGGGAAAGUCAAGGUCUUUCUCUUACGGAGUCUACAAAAGGAGGUCAGAAAUAGAAGGAAGACAAUCCAAAGAUUCAGA